GAUGAAGAACGUAGCGAAAUGCGAUAAGUAAUGUGAAUUGCAGAAUUCAGUGAAUCAUCGAAUCUUUGAACGCACAUUGCGCCCGCCAGCAUUCUGGCGGGCAUGCCUGUUCCAGCGUCAUUUCAACCCUCGAGCCCCCCCGGGGGCCUCGGUGUUGGGGGACGGCACACCAGCCGCCCCCGAAAUGCAGUGGCGACCCCGCCGCAGCCUCCCCUGCGUAGUAGCACACACCUCGCACCGGAGCGCGGAGGCGGUCACGCCGUAAAACGCCCAACUUUCUUAGAGUUGACCUCGGAUCAGGUAGGAAUACCCGCUGAACUUAAGCAUAUCAAUAAGCGGAGGA
rnacentral:misc_RNA from 1 species